AUGGAGGAAGGUCUGACGAAGGGUGUGCCCGCGGCUGCGCUACUUCACGGAGAUUCCGAGAUUGCAAGUUGCGUUGCUCCGCGGAGAAAGAAAAAUAGAAUCAAAUUUCAAUGGCAAGGGGUUUCGAAGACGGCGGCAGGCUGUGAUGGCUGGAGAUUCGAGGACGUCUUCAUGCAUGGCGGGAGACUGAGGCCUAUGACAGACAUCUUUGUGCAGGACGACGCGGAUCUACAAGGAGACGGUGGAGGGUGGAGCAGAGGGCAUUCGUAG